GACGAACGCUGGCGGCGUGCUUAACACAUGCAAGUCGAACGGAAAGGCCCUGCUUUUGUGGGGUGCUCGAGUGGCGAACGGGUGAGUAACACGUGAGUAACCUGCCCUUGACUUUGGGAUAACUUCAGGAAACUGGGGCUAAUACCGGAUAGGAGCUCCUGCUGCAUGGUGGGGGUUGGAAAGUUUCGGCGGUUGGGGAUGGACUCGCGGCUUAUCAGCUUGUUGGUGGGGUAGUGGCUUACCAAGGCUUUGACGGGUAGCCGGCCUGAGAGGGUGACCGGCCACAUUGGGACUGAGAUACGGCCCAGACUCCCACGGGAGGCAGCAGUGGGGAAUAUUGCACAAUGGGCGGAAGCCUGAUGCAGCAACGCCGCGUGCGGGAUGACGGCCUUCGGGUUGUAAGCCGCUUUCGCCUGUGACGAAGCGUGAGUGACGGUAAUGGGUAAAGAAGCACCGGCUAACUACGUG
rnacentral:rRNA from 1 species